GUAGGUGGCAAGCGUUGUCCGGAAUUAUUGGGCGUAAAGCGCGCGCAGGCGGUCCUUUAAGUCUGAUGUGAAAGCCCACGGCUCAACCGUGGAGGGUCAUUGGAAACUGGGGGACUUGAGUACAGAAGAGGAAAGCGGAAUUCCAAGUGUAGCGGUGAAAUGCGUAGAGAUUUGGAGGAACACCAGUGGCGAAGGCGGCUUUCUGGUCUGUAACUGACGCUGAGGCGCGAAAGCGUGGGGAGCAAACAGGAUUAGAUACCCUGGUAGUCCACGCCGUAAACGAUGAGUGCUAAGUGUUAGGGGGUUUCCCGCCCCCCUUAGUGCUGCAGCUAACGCAUUAAGCACUCCGCCUGGGGAUACGGCGCAAGGCUG
rnacentral:rRNA from 1 species